rnacentral:rRNA from 1 species
CCCCAAGCGAUACACAACAUGAAAACACAAGGCAGCAAAAUGCCAGCUUCCUCAAUACCACUGUUGUACCGUUGCCUACUGCUUGUAUCAUGCCUUCUGCUCUUGGAAGAAGCAGAUGCGGCGCACCAUGGAGGGAUCUCACUGAGGUCGCAACACAUGGCCCUCCUCCACUGGAAAGCUACACUUGCGAGCCCACCACCGCAGAUGAGCUCUUGGCAGGAAAACACCAGCUCGUGCAACUGGACGGGCAUCAUGUGCACGGCUGUUCGCCAUGGCCGCCACAUGCCCUGGGUGGUCACCAACAUCUCCCUGCCAGAUGCUGGCAUCCGUGGCCAGCUUGGUGAGCUCAACUUCUCGGCUCUUCCAUUCCUUGAAUAUAUCAACCUUACUAACAAUAGUCUCCAUGGUGCACUGCCCUCUAGUAUCAGCUCCCUGUCAGCACUUUCAGUACUUGGCCUUCAAUACAACCAGCUCACAGGGAAAAUUCCCUAUGAGAUUGGUCACCUGCAAAGUCUCAGGCGGCUUGGCCUCGCAUAUAACAGACUCACAGGGCAUAUCCCUGUGUCUCUGGGUAAUCUAACAAUGUUAACUGAUCUUUUCAUUCACCAAACCAUGCUAUCAGGCCCCAUUCCCGAGGAGAUUGGAAGGCUUGUCAACCUACAAGUUCUACAGCUAAGCAACAGCACCUUAAGCGGCACGAUACCAAAAACCCUUGGAAAUCUGACCCAACUAAAUACUUUGUUUCUCUAUGGUAAUCAACUUUCAGGACCUAUACCCCAAGAACUAGGCAGGCUAGUACAUUUGCGAAGUCUUCAGCUUAGUAUAAAUGAUUUUUCAGGUCCAAUUCCAAUCUCGAUAACCAAUCUCACUAAGAUGAAUGAUCUUUUUCUCGGUGAAAAUCCACUCACAGGUUCAUUACCCUCAGAACUAGGCAAUCUCGCUAUGCUAAACCGACUUUAUGUCUACAAAAGUCAAAUAACCGGUUCAAUACCCCCAGAGUUGGGGAACCUCACCAUGCUCAAUUCCCUUGCUCUAUAUACAAAUCAAAUCACAGGUCCAAUACCAUUAGAAUUGGGUCUCUUGCAGAAUCUCCAGAGUUUACAACUAGAUGACAACCAAAUAUCUGGUUCUAUUCCUAGCAUCUUAGGAAAUAUGACUAAGCUAGUAGAGCUGACCCUAUCUGUAAAUCACAUAACCGGUUCCAUCCCCCAAGAAAUUGGCAAUCUAAUGAACCUCGAGUAUUUAGCCUUUUUUCAGAACCAAAUUUCGGGAUCAAUACCAAAAACUUUUGGGAAGUUGCAAAGCAUCAAAAUAAUGCAAGUCUUUGAUAACAAAUUAUCAGGUUCCCUUCCUCAAGAAUUUGGAGAUCUCAUCAAACUUGUGGAACUUGCACUUUCUAACAACUCACUUUCAGGACAUUUACCUGCAAAUAUAUGUUUAGGUGGCAGACUAAAAAAUGUCUAUGCCUCUUUUAAUAUGUUUAGUGGCCUCAUUCCAAGGAGUUUAAAGACAUGUACGAGUUUGGUUAAAAUUGACCUUCAAUCGAACAAACUAACAGGAGAUAUAUCUCAGCAUUUUGGUGUGUAUCCAGAACUCAUAGGGAUGAGCUUGUCAUCAAAUAGACUCACUGGCAGAUCUCGCCAAAUCUUGGUGCAAGUACUCAACUAACGAUACUAUAUUUAGCACACAAUAUGAUCACGGGUUCCAUACCUCCAAUCAUUUCUAAAUUUUCAAACCUAGUAGCACUAAGACUUGAUUCUAAUCAUCUCAGCGGCGAGAUCCCACCAGAAAUCUGCAGUUUAGCAAAUCUCUAUAACAUGAACUUAUCAUCAAACCAAUUAUCUGGAUCCAUACCUAAACAGAUAGAAAAGCUUCGCAAUCUAGGAUAUCUUGAUAUAUCUGGGAACAGACUGAAUGGAUUGAUACCUGAGGAACUAGGGGCCUUCACGAAACUACAGUACCUAAAGAUCAACAACAAUAGCUUCAGUGGGAGUUUGCCUGGUGCGAUUGGAAAUUUAGCAGCCUUGCAGAUCAUGUUAGAUGUGAGCAACAAUAACCUCAGUGGUGUGUUGCCGCGGAAUUCGGGAAUUUGGGGAUGCUAGAAUUUCUGAAUUUAUCGCAUAAUCAAUUCAGUGGCAACAUUCCAUCCUCCUUUGGAAGCAUGGUGAGCCUUUCAACAUUUGAUGUGUCCUACAAUGACUUGGAAGGACCAGUCCCAACAACAUGGCUACUCCACAAUGCUUCAGCAAGCUGGUUUCUUCCCAAUAAAGGUAUGUGCGGUAACCUCUCUGGCCUGCCACCUUGUUAUUCAUCUCCAGUAGUUGGUCACCAUAAAGGGAAGAUACUUGGUUUGCUUUUGCCGAUUGUUCUUGUGGUGGGUUUCAGUAUUAUUGCUGCAAUUGCUGUUGUAAUAAUGCUUAGUCGUAACAAGACAAAACCACAAGAAGGUGUUAUUGCUGAAGCAAGGGACCUGUUCUCUGUUUUGAACUUUGAUGGAAGAUUGGCAUUUGACGAUAUUUUAAGGGCAACAGAAGGCUUCGAUGAUAAGUACAUCACUGGAACAGGAGGAUACGGCAAAGUCUACAAGGCACAACUCCAAGAUGGGGAGCUGGUUGCUGUGAAGAAGCUUCAUCAGACCGAAGAGUUGGAUGAUGAAAGAAGAUUUCGUAGUGAAAUGGAAAUCUUAACACAGAUCCGACAACGAAGCAUUGUCAAAAUGUAUGGAUUCUGCUCCCAUCCAGUGUAUAAGUUUCUAGUCUACGACUACAUUCAGCAGGGAAGCCUCCACGGAAUAUUGGAAAAUCAGGAGCUAGCAAAGGAAUUAGAUUGGAAGAAGAGAAUUGCUCUUGCAACUGAUGUGGCUCAAGCAAUAUCUUAUUUGCACCACGAAUGCAGUCCACCUAUAAUCCAUCGAGAUAUCACAAGCAACAACAUCUUACUUGAUACAUCCUUCAAGGGUUUUGUCUCGGAUUUUGGCACGGCAAGGAUUCUUAAACCCGAUUCAUCAAACUGGAGUGCACUAGCAGGAACAUAUGGCUACAUAGCUCCUGAACUGUCGUACACAUCUGCUGUGACAGAGAAAUGUGAUGUCUAUAGCUUUGGCGUGGUGGUGCUAGAGCUAGUGAUAGGGAAGCAUCCAAGGGAUCUAUUAGACGGUAGUUUGUCAAGCGGGGAACAAGCUAUACUUGUGAAAGAUAUUCUGGACCAACGGCCGACAACACCAACAACAACAGAAGAGAAGAGCUUAGCUCUGCUCAUCAAGCUGGCCUUCUCUUGCUUGGAAUCUUCUCCACAAGCAAGGCCAACCAUGCGGGCGGCAUACCAAACGCUCAUCCAGCAACCUUGUUCUAGUUCAAGUCCCGUGCCUUUCAGCGCACUUACAUUACAGCAAGGGAUGCAUGUUGAUGUAUGAUCCGAAUUCUAGUGAGAAGCCAGGGUCUAUCUUGGCGGAGGUCGAUAAAAUGUUUCCACUUUUGACACUCAUAUUCCACCUAUAUAUACCCCAUGUAUACCAACAUGGGAUGAGUUGUACACUCACGUCAUACAGUGAAAUAUAACCGUCGUGUGCCUAUGGUUUUCCCCGCAAGGGUUUUCCACGUAAAAAUUGGUGUCAUGUGUUCUUGAUAUUUCUCUUUUUGUUCGCUUGCCAAUUUCUAAGAAUGCAUAAGUAUAAUUUUAUUGUGGGUUGCU